AGCAGCCGCGGUAAUUCCAGCUCCAAUAGCGUAUAUUAAAGUUGUUGCAGUUAAAAAGCUCGUAGUUGAACUUCGGGGUCUACCCAUUGGUCAGGCUUAAUUGUCUGCACUGGUGAGAUGGAUCUCUACCUUCUGAGGAACUUUCAUGCCAUUUAUUUGGUGUGAUUGGAAAUCAGAACUGUUACUUUGAAAAAAGUUAGAGUGUUUAAAGCAGACUAUCGUCUGAAUACAUUAGCAUGGAAUAAUGAAAUAGGACGGACUGAUUCUAUUUCGUUGGUUUCUAGGAUCACCGUAAUGAUUAAUAGGGAUAGUUGGGGGCAUUAGUAUUCAAUUGUCAGAGGUGAAAUUCUUGGAUUUAUUGAAGACUAACUACUGCGAAAGCAUUUUGCCAAGGAUGUUUUCAUUAAUCAAGAACGAAAGUUAGGGGAUCGAAGACGAUCAGAUACCGUCGUAGUCUUAACCAUAAACUAUGCCGACUAGGGAUCGGAUGAUGUUAAUUUUUUCAAUGACUCAUUCGGCG
rnacentral:rRNA from 1 species